rnacentral:rRNA from 1 species
UUUAGCCUACGGGGCGCAGCAGUGGGGGAUAUUGCACAAUGGGGGGAACCCUGAUGCAGCGACGCCGCGUGGGUGAAGGAGCGUUUCGGCGCGUAAAGCCCUAUCGGCAGGGAAGAAGAUGACGGUACCUGACCAAGAAGCCCCGGCUAACUACGUGCCAGCAGCCGCGGUAAUACGUAGGAUGCGAGCGUUAUCCGGAUUUAUUGGGUUUAAAGGGUGCGCAGGCGGAAUGUCAAGUCAGCGGUAAAAUUUCGGGGCUCAACCCGGUCGUGCCGUUGAAACUGGCGUUCUUGAGUGAGCGAGAA